rnacentral:rRNA from 1 species
AGUGAACGCUGGCAGUAGGCCUAACACAUGCAAGUCGAACGGCAGCACAGUAAGAGCUUGCUCUUACGGGUGGCGAGUGGCGGACGGGUGAGGAAUACAUCGGAAUCUACUUUUUCGUGGGGGAUAACGUAGGGUAACUUACGCUAAUACCGCAUACGACCUACGGGUGAAAGCAGGGGAUCUUCUGACCUUGCGCGAUUGAAUGAGCCGAUGUCGGAUGAGCUAGUUGGCGGGGUAAAGGCCCACCAAGGCGACGAUCCGUAGCUGGUCUGAGGGGAUGAUCAGCCACACUGGAACUGAGAAACGGUCCAGACUCCUACGGGAGGCAGCAGUGGGGAAUAUUGGACAAUGGGCGCAAGCCUGAUCCAGCCAUACCGCGUGGGUGAAGAAGGCCUUCGGGUUGUAAAGCCCUGUUGUUGGUAAAGAAAAGCAGCAGGUUAAUACCCCGCUGUUCUGACGGUACCCAAAGAAUAAGCACCGGCUAACUUCGUG